GCGUGUUUUUAGCGGGAUCUGUAUUUGUUUGAGUUUAAACUUGUUUAGUGCAUUAAUUAUCAACUACCAACUUUAUUACACAUUAAAUAUAGGCGUUUCCAUCUUUAACUCAAUCUUGAACCUAGAUGUAUUCCUAAACAAGAUCCCAUACUCACCUCCCCUCUUCUUCUUAAACCCAUCACACAACACCCUCCUGCUCGAUUGAACGGCUGGCGACCACCACCGUCUGGUGGCGGCGGCACACGACAGCGACAGGACGAAGAGAGAGAGAUGAGAGAGAGAGAUCGGAGCUCGAGCUAGGAGAGAAGGACGCACCGACCGGCGGCGAUAGCCGCGUUCAGCAGCGGCGGAGUUCAACGGCGGCAUCUCGACUUCGUGAGUGUUCGUUUUGAAUUCGCUAAUGAAGAAGAUGAUAAAGUUUGGUUCCGGUGCACGCCAUUCUCGUUGCGGAGCAAGAGGAAUCACUGGAAAUGUUUAAAGUUUACGUCGGUCUCGAGUCGUUACAUGAUCGGACGUUCGCGUAUUUCAUAUCUAGGAUAACCUCUCUCGUCCGUUCUCUUGGAUUUCCCAACCCUUACUCGUGCGCUAUUUCAAGGAAAUCGCAUACGCAACCAAUGUUAAUUGUUGAGGUGAUACUUCAAGAUGAAACGAGAUUUAGGGUGGACUAGAUACACACCUAGAUUAAUUUAUCUUAUAUUGUUAUGUUUUGUUACGAAACAAUGUUGUAUUUUUUUUUAUUUGAAUCUUGUAUGACGUUUA